rnacentral:rRNA from 1 species
UGACCUCGGAUCAGGUAGGGAUACCCGCUGAACUUAAGCAUAUCAAUAAGCGGAGGAAAAGAAACCAACAGGGAUUGCCCUAGUAACGGCGAGUGAAGCGGCAACAGCUCAAAUUUGAAAUCUGGCGCAAGCCCGAGUUGUAAUUUGUAGAGGAUGCUUCAGGGCAGCGGCCGUUCUAAGUCUUUUGGAACAAGGCGUCACAGAGGGUGAGAAUCCCGUAUGCGACCGGCGCGCACCCGUCACGUAGCUCCUUCGACGAGUCGAGUUGUUUGGGAAUGCAGCUCUAAAUGGGAGGUAAAUUUCUUCUAAAGCUAAAUAUUGGCCAGAGACCGAUAGCG